UUAAAAUAAGAGAUAAUCUGAGAAUAUUAAAAAUUUAAACGCACGGAUAAUACCAAAUUUCGAUAAACAAAUGGUACAAAAUUUGUAUUUCGAUAAACUACGGAUACCAAAUAUGCAUUUACAAAAAAAUAAAAAUAAAAUAAAAAAUAGACUUGAUCAAUAAUGACAAAAAAAAACAGCUUAUUUUAUUUGGCUAACACCGUAACUCCAAGUUAUUUACUAUCAAUAACUAUGUUAUGAAAUCAAUGGUAUGAAAUCAAUGGUAUGAAAUCAAUAACUCUUAUCAAUAAAAUUUUCACAUACAUUCAAUAAAUGGUAUGAAAUCAAUACCCCAGGCAGCUGUUGAUCCUCGACCACCCACUACGCGUUCUAACCAUCUGUGGCAGCUCCUCGAACUCAUUGUUCCUCCACUCACUUCGCCAUUGUUCUAAAUGUGUUCGUUAAAAUGCUUCAAAGAGACAGAUUACUUCUUUCUUCUUCUGGCAUCUCACACCUUGCCCUGCUUUUAAUGGUUCUAUCUUCACAACUUCUACUCCUCUUCACAAUUUGAAACAAUUAUGUGUUUACAUCUUUAUUGGCCCAAGAAGAAAGAGCUUGAGAAUUGGCCUGGCCACCAACGUGAGUGGAGCAGUACAACCGUAGAUACGGCAAAAUGUUCUCCUUCUUGAAAGAAAAACCAAUUCAAUGCCAAUGCUUCUUCUCUUUCUAAUUUUAAAGAAGGUCAAAAUCACUGUUGUCAAAUAUUAAUAUAGUUUCAUAUUCACUCUUCUGAUACUUUUUUGUCAUUGCUUAUUGGUUAUCAAUUAUUAAUUAUUCUUAUUUUCGUGGUACAAUUAAAAUUUGUAUUCAAUGGUUUUGACAUUACAAUUGCCGCAACUAAAGCAAUUUCUCCAACAGCAUGUUAAAGGCACUUGUAGACAUAUAAACAUGAAUCUUGCAACACAUGUUCUUUUGUUUAAGAUGAAUGUUGACAUUGUCAUGUAUGUUAUCGAAAAGUUAGUGAAGUUGGAGCCAUCUUUUCUGCAUUUGGUGGUUAUCUCUGUCAUGUUUGACCAAGUAUGUUAUAGAUCACUAUUCAACAAGAAAAAUAGAGGCUUCGACUUUUCUCUUAAGGGUGUUUGGUAUGAGAUUUGAGUUUUGGGAGAAUAGAGUUAGAAAGGGUUUGAGGAAGUGUUUGGUAUGGGGGUUUGGUUUGGUGGGAAUAGGAAUGUCAAAUCUAACCCAUGUUUGGUAAAUUUAUUUUUAAUGGCUUGGGGAUUUGUGUUUCCAAAUAGGUCUUAUUUUUUAGCUUGAUUUGAGGAUAAUCUUAACCUCUUUAAACACUUGAGUUUCACAUUCCCUUAAUCUAAACCCCUUCUAACUCUACUCCCACAAACUCAAACUUCAUACCAAACACCCCCUAAGAUUACCCUCAAAUCAAGUUUUAAAAAAUAAGACUCACUUGGAAACACAAACUCCCAAGCCAAUAAAAAUAAAUUUACCAAACAUAAGUUAGAUUUGACAUUCUCAUUCCCAUCAAACUAAACCCCAUACCAAACACCCCUUAAGGCUUCUAUGGUCUCCACAAUAAAUGUUGCAGAAGUAGAGGUGAAUCCAACUUUGUCUCAGCACUUUGUCUCUUCUCGAUAGUACUUUUUCCAUAGAAAUUUUAAAAAUUGUUAGCUAUCCCUCUAAGUUUUGCUCUUUUUCAUGUGUUGCAUCUUUAUGAUAACAAUGCUCGUGAACUAGUCAAACAUUGAACUAGUCAAGCAUUCACUUACAAUAGAAAACGAGUUAAGAUUAAAAGUUUUCCUUCCUGUAUUAUGACAUUUGUACUUGAUAUUGAUAUGGUCUUUCAUUAAAAAAAAAAAAAAAGAUAAAAUCCAUAUAUUAUGAGCAAUGUUAUGCGCACACUAUUGAUUUCAUAGCCCAUAAUAGUGUUUUAUCAAACUAAAUAAAACUACAUUUAAAAAAAAAAAAAGAAGAAACAAUUUGAAAUUCAUUCUU